GUGAAGAUUGAAGCUUGGAGGUGAAUCGCCUUCGUCUUCUUCAUCUUCUCCACCUUGAGGGCAAGCUUGAGAGGUAAGCUUUUGCUACCCUUUAAUGGCAUUUCUCUAUAGCAUGGGUUUUAAGCUCUAAGGAUGGAUUUAGUAGCUUUCCUAAGUGCUAAUUAGAUGGAUUAUGCUUGAAUCCAAAGCUCUAGUGGUGGAUUCUUGCUUAGUUGUAAACCUAGAGCUCAAAAUGCUAUUUUUGUAAAUAGAUGGGUUUGAUCUAAAUUGGUUGUAAUUAAACCUAAUUGAUAGGUAACGAAACACGUUGGCGAAGACGGUUCGGCAAUCCGACGAGCCGUUACAAAGUUAUUAAAGAAACGGACGUUUAGGCUUCGUUUCCGCCUGGAGGGCCGAGGCGACGUCGUAAAAUCCUGAAAAUGGAUUUGAAGCAUCGUAACAAGAAACCGAAGACCUUUAAUUUUCGGAUCGCGGAUCGGAGGUCGUUUAGUGGUCGUGCGCGGAUUGGGUCAAGCCGAGCGGCGUGCGCCGCGGGAGGCCGAUUGCAAGUGACGACAAGCAAUCGGAACGCGAUAAAAGGUGGGGGAGUGCCAUCCCGAAGCAAUCGGGCUUCUUCCUAUGUCUUAGUGCUUAUCCAUUCACAUGUAGCAUAUUGUAUAUCGAUACCUCGCAUUAUAGGAUGACAAUACAUGCAUUCCUAAUCCUUAUAUGAUGUUUAUGAUCAAUAUAGUACUAUGAUAUGGAUAUAUGAUGUAAUGGACAUAAGGAUUAUGAGAUGACAUUGGUAAACUUAUGAUGCUAAAUGAGAGAAGAACCUAGUGUUGUGAUUAAAGACAUAGUUUACAGGUGGCAUUGAACUUAUUGUGCUAAAAACACAUAUGACUUGAACUAGUAAUGGAUUGGUUGUUAUACUAGAAACUCUAGUUAACGUUGAUCAAGUUGCAUAUUGGGAUAUUGCAUUAUAGGGUACUAGUUGGCAAUUGUUACAUAUCAUGGCAUGCUAGUGGGAGUGUAGUGUUACUUGAUUAAUACUUGUACCUAGUAUGCAUGAGAUUGGGACUUAGUGUGGUGAAACCCUACAAGGGCAUGAUUAAUGUGGAUUAAACUUUGUUGAAUGCAUUAAUCUAAACUUUGUUGAAUGCAUUAAUCGAUUAAGUUGCAUAUCGUAUUCAUUGCAUUUAGAUGCUAAAUGAUUGUGGUCAUUGCUCAUAUUUGCAUGCUAGUAGCUAUACAUCUUGAUGAUUGAUCCAUGAUCUAGUAUGCAUGAUGAUUAUAUGAUGAAAACUUUAUGAUAAAGACCUAGACCCUAUGUGAGGUGAUUAAUGCUUAUGUUGCUAAAGAACUAGUAUGAUGUAACUAGUGUUGAAAUGAGUCUAAAUGUCGAGUGGCAUCUAGUUUAGAAAACUAUGAUGAGUGGCAUAUGAUUGUUGAUAACCUUGACAUGAGAACCUUAGUGUAGUUGAAACACUAUGAGAUUGGGUACAAGAACACCUUGAUUCCAUGAUGAGAUUACCCUUAGAGGGUAGGUUA
rnacentral:lncRNA from 1 species